rnacentral:piRNA from 1 species
UGUACCAGAUGGAAGUGAUGUUUGGCA